rfam:Dipodomys ordii contig_39885, whole genome shotgun sequence.
GGUGGCUCAGUGGUAGAGCGCUUGCCUUGCAAUGUAUGAGGCCCUGGGUUUGAUUCCCCAGCACCA